AGUAACACCAAGCCAUCAACAGAAAAAGAAAGAACAUGGAUGAGGAGGAGAGGAGUGUGGUUUAUCUAUAUGGUGAGAACAAAGAAUACAAUAUGUGGUAUCGAUUGGUUGUUGAUGAUGGGACGACCAAAAACAAGGAGGAAAACCAACCAAUUUCACCAGUUGCCCUUCUAUCGUUUGCUGAGUAUGGAAUCAGAGGAGACUGGGGAUGUUAUGGAUGACGACAUCUACUGGGCUGGAGGAGCUAUCGAUGGCGAAGUUUGUAAGUGUCUGCCUAAGCAUAACAUUCAUCAUGACGACCCUACCUCUUGGGAUAAAUUAACUACCUUGAACAUUCCCCGUCACACUCCCAUCCUCGUUGCCACUGGUAGAAAGAUAUCUAUCGUCUCUGGCUAUGACCUCAACCCUGAACAGCACAUGGCCGAUGAUAAUUGGAAAAAAUCUGGUGAAAUUUACGACCUUGACGAAGAAACUUUCUUACCUCCCUUCUUCUGACAUUGAAAAAAUGGAAUACCAUUAUCAUCAGCAUAUUAUUGAGGAGCAGGUGUUUUAUUCCUUCGAAGAGGGUUCUAUGCUGAUUGCGGAUACCUCUGCCGGUAGUGUGGUGGUCGAACACGGACACCCCUCCAAAGACAACUUCAGCUUUGUGGCUCUACAGAAUCGACGUGGUCGUGUUCCACUGGGUCUCGAACGUUGUCUGUCCGCCGGUCGAUCAUUAGACACUGCUGUCGCUUGUACACGUCCAGUCUUACUCAAUCGAACAUUAUAUUACUUCACCUAUGAUCUUAGGCUUUACGGUUAUGAUUUGGAUCUACAUAAAUGGUUCCGAUCUAAAUCCCUUCAUCCUCAAAUAUACCCACUCAGGCACAAUCAUGGCUCGUACUUAUCUGUUCUUACUCUUUUGCUUCCCCUGCCAAAUCGAGAUCUCUUGGCGCUUACUCGCAAGCAGCGUGAAGCCGGCUGUUUUACAAUGGCCUCCCUCUCCGUGAACAAAAACUACACCUCUUUAGAUGUCACCGUGAAGCACACUCAGCAAUUUCGCACUGAUUACCCUCUUUUCAGUCCCUUCGCUGGGAAGGCAAUUGUAGGAGGUUGAACAAUGCAUGAUGCCAUGCAAGGAUGAGUCAAAUCUGCAACGGCGAGCUAAUGGCAUCUUGUUCAAAUCGUUGAGCUGGUGUUGGCUCUUUAAGUUGAUGGAUGCAGCUACCUUCUUUAGUAUAUUAGUUUUAUGCUUUAGCUUUGUGCAAAUAUGCUACAAUGUUAAAAACCUUAUUAGGUUGUCUUUUAUAUUGUUUGCCUAACUUACAAAUUUUAAGUUUGCUGUUUUUCUUC